UACGUAGGAGGCGAGCGUUGUCCGGAUUUACUGGGCGUAAAGGGUGCGCAGGCGGUGGUGCGCGUGGAUAGAUGAAAUCUCCUGGCUUACCUGGGAGGAUGGUAUCCAGACGGCAUCACUUGAGGGUCGGAGAGGGGCGUGGAAUUCCGGGUGGAGCGGUGAAAUGCGUAGAGAUCCGGAGGAACACCGACGGCGUAGGCAGCGCCCUGGACGACACCUGACGCUGAGGCACGAAAGCUGGGGGAGCAAACGGG
rnacentral:rRNA from 1 species